AGCAGACCAGUCAAAGCUGCAUAGUGAGUGAGACGCUGCUCAACAAAAAAGCAAAAGAGAAAGAAAGAAAGAAAACCGUUCUGAUUAGCAGCAACGCCGAAACUGUUUCGUGUUUUAUGUUGAAGCACUGUGCCAGAGCUUUGCAAACAUUUGUUCAAAGCUUGCAGCAACCUUCCAAGAGAGCAGUAGGAGAAAAUAAGAUGUGUCCAAUACUUUCAAACACAUCGUUACCACAGAACAGAGGGAGAGAGUCUCAGUCAUCAGAUCUGUAAGUCAAGCAUACAAAGAGGCAACUUGAAACUGCCAGGUCUGGAGCUGAGGAAUCGUAUCCAAAGCUUUUCCAGGGUCUUGUGUAUGCUAUCACCACACCUGCGUGUGCUAUCACCACACCUGCCAGUGCUAUCACCACACCUUCGAGUGCUAUCACCACACCUGCCUGUGCGAUCAC
rnacentral:lncRNA from 1 species